UACGUAGGGGGCGAGCGUUGUCCGGAAUUAUUGGGCGUAAAGAGCGUGUAGGCGGUUCGGUAAGUCUGCCGUGAAAACCUGAGGCUCAACCUCGGGCGUGCGGUGGAUACUGCCGGGCUAGAGGACGGUAGAGGCGAGUGGAAUUCCCGGUGUAGCGGUGAAAUGCGCAGAUAUCGAGAGGAACACCUGCGGCGAAGGCGGGUUGCUGGGCUGACACUGACGCUGAGGCGCGAAAGCUAGGGGAGCGAACGGG
rnacentral:rRNA from 1 species